UACAUGGGGUGCAAACGUUGCUCGGAAUCAUUGGGCGUAAAGCGCGCGUAGGCGGUUACACAAGUUGGAUGUGAAAGCCCUCGGCUUAACUGAGGAAGUGCAUCCAAAACUGUGCAGCUAGAGUACUAAAGAGGGUCGCGGAAUUCCCGGUGUAGAGGUGAAAUUCGUAGAUAUUCGCAAGAACACCAGUGGCGAAGGCGGCUCACUGGCCCGAUACUGACGCUGAGGCACGAAAGCGUGGGGAGCAAACAGG
rnacentral:rRNA from 1 species